rnacentral:lncRNA from 1 species
GUUGGCAUGACACGGGUUAUGUUCUUCUCAUAUAUGUUAUGAUGGUAUGAUACUAAACCCCUAACGGGAAGGAUUGUGCCUGAUGUUCAUAUGAUGAAAUCAUAAUCUUUCAGUCAGUUUAAUUGAAGUCUGGAGCUGGCAUGUCAGCUAACUGCUAGUAGUCUGUUGUUAUUUAUGUAUUAUUGUCAUUUUGUUUAUUUUCUUUGGUUACAUCUUCUGACAUCAGACUCGGACUUCACUUGAACUGAA